rnacentral:rRNA from 1 species
GGUGGGCGACGACCGGCGCACGGGUGAGUAACGUUUAUCUACCCUGCCCAUAACUAAGGGAUAAUCCGUACAAAUGCGGUCUAAUACCUUAUGUGUUCCGACGAAGACAUCUGAAUUGGAAUAAAGAUUUAUCGGUUAUGGAUGGGGAUGCGUCUGAUUAGAUUGUUGGCGGGGCAACGGCCCACCAAGUCUACGAUCAGUAGGGGUUCUGAGAGGAAGGUCCCCCACAUUGGAACUGAGACACGGUCCAAACUCCUACGGGAGGCAGCAGUGAGGAAUAUUGGUCAAUGGGCGAGAGCCUGAACCAGCCAAGUAGCGUGCAGGAUGACGGCCCUAUGGGUUGUAAACUGCUUUUGUAUGGGAAUAAAGUGCUCCACGUGUGGAGUUUUGUAGGUACCAUACGAAUAAGGACCGGCUAAUUCCGUGCCAGCAGCCGCGGUAAUACGGAAGGUCCGGGCGUUAUCCGGAUUUAUUGGGUUUAAAGGGAGCGUAGGCCGUGGAUUAAGUGUGUUGUGAAAUGUAGGCGCUCAACGUCUGACUUGCAGCGCAUACUGGUCCACUUGAGUGCGCGCAACGCGGGCGGAAUUUGUCGUGUAGCGGUGAAAUGCUUAGAUAUGACGAAGAACCCCGAUUGCGAAGGCAGCUCGCGGGAGCGCAACUGACGCUGAAGCUCGAAAGUGCGGGUAUCGAACAGGAUUAGAUACCCUGGUAGUCCGCACGGUAAACG